CCGCAUCUGUGCAUGCAGCAUAUCAAUAAGCGGAGGAAAAGAAACUAACAAGGAUUCCCCUAGUAACGGCGAGUGAAGGCGGGAAGAGCUCAAAUUUGAAAUCUUAAAGGGUUUCCCUUUACGAAUUGUAGUUUAAAGAAGUGUUUUCUGUUGAGGUUUUGGUAAAAGUUCUUUGGAAUAGGACAUCAUAGAGGGUGAGACUCCCGUAUUUGACCUUUACUUUCAACUUUGUGAUACACUUUCAAAGAGUCGGAUUGUUUGGGAAUGCAGUCCAAAAUGGGUGGUAAAUUUCAUCUAAAGCUAAAUAUUGGCGAGAGACCGAUAGCGAACAAGUACCGUGAGGGAAAGAUGAAAAGAACUUUGAAAAGAGAGUUAAACAGUACGUGAAAUUGUCAAAAGGGAAGCGUUUGACACCAGUGUUGUUUUUCUGAAAAUCAAUUAAAGAACUGUUUAUGCUAAGUUGUUUAGACUUUAUCAGCUAACUGUUUAGUUUUGAGCUUUUCUUUAAUGCACUUUUCAGUUAACAAGUCAACAUCAAUUUCUUUUGCUGUAAAAAAGCUUGAGGGAAGGUGGCUUGAGAUUCGUCUUAAGUGUUUAUAGCCUCUUGCCUAUGCAGUCGGAGAGAUUGAGGUCUGCAGCGUAGAUCCUUCGGGGCUAAAUGCAUUUGUGCUAAGUUAUAGCAUUUUAUAGACAACUUGUUGACUAUGAUUUGUCUUGUAGCUUACUCGCUUAUGUUAUUUUACCUACGCUUAGGAUGUUGACAGCAGUAUAGACUGU
rnacentral:rRNA from 1 species